UAGUCGUUGUAGUAUAGUGGUAAGUAUUACCGCCUGUCACGCGGGUGACCCGGAUGACCCGGGUUCGAUCCCCGGCAAUGGCGC